rnacentral:rRNA from 1 species
UUGCUGGGGGAUUAGUGGCGAACGGGUGAGUAACACGUGAGUAACCUGCCCUUGACUCUGGGAUAAGCCUGGGAAACUGGGUCUAAUACCGGAUACGACCAUCUGGCGCAUGUCAUGGUGGUGGAAAGCUUUUGUGGUUUUGGAUGGACUCGCGGCCUAUCAGCUUGUUGGUGGGGUAAUGGCCUACCAAGGCGACGACGGGUAGCCGGCCUGAGAGGGUGACCGGCCACACUGGGACUGAGACACGGCCCAGACUCCUACGGGAGGCAGCAGUGGGGAAUAUUGCACAAUGGGCGCAAGCCUGAUGCAGCGACGCCGCGUGAGGGAUGACGGCCUUCGGGUUGUAAACCUCUUUCAGUAGGGAAGAAGCGAAAGUGACGGUACCUGCAGAAGAAGCGCCGGCUAACUACGUGCCAGCAGCCGCGGUAAUACGUAGGGCGCAAGCGUUAUCCGGAAUUAUUGGGCGUAAAGAGCUCGUAGGCGGUUUGUCGCGUCUGCUGUGAAAGACCGGGGCUCAACUCCGGUUCUGCAGUGGGUACGGGCAGACUAGAGUGCAGUAGGGGAGACUGGAAUUCCUGGUGUAGCGGUGAAAUGCGCAGAUAUCAGGAGGAACACCGAUGGCGAAGGCAGGUCUCUGGGCUGUAACUGACGCUGAGGAGCGAAAGCAUGGGGAGCGAACAGGAUUAGAUACCCUGGUAGUCCAUGCCGUAAACGUUGGGCACUAGGUGUGGGGGACAUUCCACGUUUUCCGCGCCGUAGCUAACGCAUUAAGUGCCCCGCCUGGGGAGUACGGCCGCAAGGCUAAAACUCAAAGGAAUUGACGGGGGCCCGCACAAGCGGCGGAGCAUGCGGAUUAAUUCGAUGCAACGCGAAGAACCUUACCAAGGCUUGACAUGAACCGGUAAUACCUGGAAACAGGUGCCCCGCUUGCGGUCGGUUUACAGGUGGUGCAUGGUUGUCGUCAGCUCGUGUCGUGAGAUGUUGGGUUAAGUCCCGCAACGAGCGCAACCCUCGUUCUAUGUU